AUGGCUUUUUGAUUGAGGAGACUGAGUCCACAUAUCAAGCUAUAGUUGGGGACAAGAAUGGAGCUGUUCCUGGGAGUUAUUUUGGUGAUUUUGUGGCUUCCAGUGGACUGGGUAAGCAGCCAAAAGAUGGAACAGAGUCCUCAGUCCCUGAACAUCCAGGAGGGUGAGAAGGCCGUUCUGACCUGUAACUGCACAAAUUUUUCUCCAGUGGUCUUCCAGUGGUACCGACAAGAUCUGGGAAGAGGCCUUGUCUUCUUGCUACUAAUCCGUGAAAAUGAGAGUAAAAAACAGACAGGAAGACUGAAGGCCACCUUUGAUAAGACCUUCAAACAGAGUUCCUUUUACAUAACAGAACCCCAGCCUGCAGACUCAGCCACCUACCUCUGUGCUGCAAACACACAGCAGGGUCCUAUCACCUGCUUCCUGUACCCAAACUCUGCUAACAACUCUCGCAGUCAACAGAGCUGCUGGCUGUGCUGA